CAGGGAGAAGAUAGCAUUUUUUACGAGGCCAAGGAUCAACAUACCUCCUCUCCCAGCCGAUGACGUCUGAUAUACGCAUGUUUUUCUGUGCUUGCCAUGAAUCUGAAGCAGGCGACAGGGCCUCCAGCGUUGCAGCUUUCAGCCUGCCUGUCCACGGUGGCUGUCCACACUGCCCGCCUGCCUCAGACCACGUGCGGCCGACUGGCCCCUCCGCUCUCUCUGAUUAUGACAAACCAGGAGGGUGGUGGUGGGACCCUGCUAUGCAGGUUGAGCAUCCGUUAUCUGAAAAUUGCAAGUACUUCACGAUCUGAAGCUUUCUGAGUGCCGACAUGAUGCUGCAAGGGGAAAGUUGCCACAGCUGACCCCGUGAGACAAGUUGCAGUCCAAUCGCUACAAUGCAAAACAUGGUAUAAAAUGACCUGCAGGCUAUGUGUAGAAGGUAUAUAGAGACAAAUGAACUUCCUGUGUAGACUUAGGCCCCAUCCCCAAGGUAUCUUCUUAGAUGCAUGCAAAUAUUCCCGAAUACAACAAACAAAACCAAAAACGAUCUGAAAUUAGAAAUACUUCUGGCCCCAAGCAUUUUGGAUAAGGGGUACUCAGCCCGUACUACUGUUUAAUGAAGGGAAGUGGAAAGGAAGCCAGGAGCACACGCCUUCUGUGAGUGUGGGAGAAUCCAACAGUGACCACACAGGCGUGACGGCCCGUGAAGGGCUUUGUGUGUGCAGAGGGAAGGGCGUGCGGGUGGCUAGAACCACCCAGUGAGUCGCUUAGAGGACAAUAUUGGGUUUCAGUCAGAAUGCCAGCCCGUCCUGGAGUCUGCGCAGUAUUCCUCAAUAAAUCUUAGAACUAUCUCCUGAGGGAGGACAGUUAAAGUAAUUCAGAUAUGCCAGUAUUCUUUGUAAUGCCAAACGAUGUAACUGUUUUGCCUCGAAGUGCACGCUCCUUUCUAAGAGGCCUCAGAUGAAUAAACGGGGCGGUCACAGGAAACGUCCAAAACAGAACUUUCUCUUCCUUGAUCUCCCUCCCCCUUCCUUGGAAACAUUCUUUUUAAUCGGGUCUCUCUCUUCUCAUCAGCCUGUAACCUUCCCCCUUGUAUAACCCACUUUCCUUUUUACAUUUAUGAAAAAUGAAUUUUGUAAAAGCAUUUCAUCGACACGCGACCAAUCACGGACAAUGGAAUUUGUCAGUGGUGGUAAGACUGAAACUGCGCUUCUCACAGCGGUCACUUCUUGCUAUGUAUUUCUGUUUCUUGUCUUGCCUUUUUUUUUCCAUUUUAUUUUGAUUUUAUUCGGGGCAGUUCCCUUUUUAUACGGACCUACAUCAGAAAUAGAGAGGCUUGUCCUUGCCUGAACUACCAGUCACCAGGCGGCAUGGCCGAGCAGGCCCCUCCGUGUGCCGAGCUGUUGAAGCCAUACCAUGAGCCAAGGCCUGGCUGCCCCUGGGCCAGCGAGGGCAGGUGGGUUCAGCCUCGGGCGCGGGCUCAGUGUGUUCAGGGGGAGCCCGCCGCGGCGCCUCGGCGCUGCUUUUGAGCUGCCCCAGCAGCUCUCAUGGCUUGGUUAGCAGUCCAGGGAGCUUUUGCAACUGACCAGAACCGUAGCAAGGAAAGGGAACCCAGCCGGAGGAAGGAGGGAGAAAGGAGCCCUUAGUUCUGUGUCGCUACAGGGCACCAGAGCCAGCGACAAGCAGGGGACACUGUGCGCCCUGGCCAGCUCCUCAUCAGUCACCAUAGAGUCUCCCAGCUGCCGGCUAGUGGGGACUGCCACCCCCAGAAAGACCUCGCACACCAGCGAGGCAAAGUCCUGUUGGCUUAGGGGUGCUUCCAUCUAAUGCUGAAAUCAA